GGAAUGUUCUGACCUUCCUGAUGGUCGAGUUCCUCGGAAUGAGGCACAUCAUUCCCUCCCUCUUCAAAAGGAUUUGUCCACAAAUCUGGAUUAUCUGCAAGAAAAGGAGAUAGAUCAGAAACAUUAAAACUUGAAGAGAUUUCAUACUUACCUUCCAAAUCAAGCUGGUAAGCAUUAUCAUUGAUCCUUCUAAGAAUCCGGAAUGGACCGUCGACUCGAGGCAUAAGUUUGGACUUCCUUUCUUCCGGGAAUCGUUCCUUCCUCAAAUGAACCCAAACCAAGUCACCUUCUUGGAAAACCAACUCCUUUCGCUUCUUGUUGGCAUAUCUUUUGUAACCCUCGGUUUUAGUUUCAAUGUUGACUCGAACUUGUUCAUGAAGCUUUUUGAUGGUGUCCGCCCUUCUUUUACCAUCUGUACUAACUCUUUCACUCAAAGGUAAAGGUAAAAGAUCAAGUGGAGAUAAGGGAUUAAAACCAUAAACAACUUCAAAAGGAGAGAACUUUGUAGCUGAAUGCAUAGCAUGAUUAUAAGCAAACUCAACAUGUGGCAAACAAUCUUCCCAAGACUUAAGAUUUUUCUUGACCAAAGAUCUAAGCAAAGCAGACAAAGUUCGAUUAACAACUUCGGUUUGACCAUCAGUUUGCGGAUGACAAGUUGUGGAAAACAUCAAUCUCGUUCCUAACUUAGACCACAAAGUUUUCCAAAAAUAACUAAGAAACUUAGCAUCACGAUCAGAAACAAUGGUCUUAGGCAUUCCAUGCAAUCUCACAAUUUCCCUAAAGAACAGAUCAGCAACUUGUACAGCAUCAUCAGUUUUAUGGCAAGGAAUAAAGUGAGCCAUUUUCGAAAAUCUAUCGACAACCACAAAGAUAGAGUCUCGGCCAUUCUUAGUUCUAGGCAAUCCAAGAACAAAAUCCAUAGAAAUAUCAAUCCAAGGGUGAGAAGGAAUGGGUAAGGCCGAGUACAAACCGUGAUUGGAUGCUUUGGCUUUGGACUUCUUGCACACCACACAUCGGCCACAAAUUCUCUCUACGUCCUUCAUCAAGCUAGGCCAAUAGAAAUGAUCAUACACGGCCUUGUAUGUCUUCUUGAUUCCAAAGUGUCCCAUAAGACCUCCUCCAUGAGAUUCCCUGAGAAACAACUCCCUCAAAGAACAUUGGGGCACACACAAACGGUUAUCAUAGAAAAGAAAACCCGAGUUUCGAUAGUACUUGCCAUAAGCCACUCUGGAACACUUGUUGAAAAUUUCUUUAAAAUCCGGAUCAGAAGCAUACAAGUCUUUGAUAAAUUCAAAACCGAGAAGUUUUGUUUCGAGGGCUGAAAGAAGAGUAUACCUUCGGGACAAGGCAUCAGCCACAACGUUUUCCUUACCUUGCUUGUAUUUGAUGACAUAAGGAAAUGUCUCAAUGAAUUCAACCCAGCGGGCAUGCCUCUUGUUCAGCUUCUGUUGACCCUUAAGGUGUUUCAGGGACUGAUGAUCCGUGUGGAUAACAAACUCCUUAGGCCAAAGAUAGUGUUGCCAUGUUUGAAGAGCUCUUACCAAAGCAUACAACUCUUGAUCAUAAGUUGGGUAGUUGAGUGUGGCGCCUCCAAGCUUCUCACUGAAGUAAGCAAUAGGCUUUCUAUCCUGCAUCAAAACUGCACCAAUACCAACACCCGAAGCAUCACAUUCGAUCUCAAACGUUUUAGAAAAGUCAGGAAGAACAAGUAAAGGAGCAUUAGUCAACUUCCCUUUAAGGAUUUGGAAGGCUUCUUCUUGAGCUUGUUCCCAUUUGAACCCAACAUUCUUUUUAAUGACUUCGGUCAAUGGGGCCGCUAUGGUACUAAAAUCUUGGACGAACCGUCGAUAGAACCCAGCAAGGCCGUGGAAGCUCCUUACUUCACUCACGUUCGUUGGACUUGGCCAGUCUCGGAUGGCUUUGAUUUUCUCCUCGUCCACUCUAAGUCCUUCAGCACCUACAACAAAACCUAAGAAGACCACAUGAUCUGUGCCAAAAGAACACUUUCCAAGGUUAGCAAACAAAUGUUCCUUUCUAAGAACUUCAAGGACAGAUUUCAAAUGUUUCUUAUGUUCAUCCAUGUUCUUGCUGUAGAUAAGAAUACCAUCAAAGUAAACUACCACAAAAUGACCAAUGAAUGCUCUCAAGAUAUGGUUCAUCAAUCGCAUGAAAGUGCUAGGUGCAUUAGUAAGACCAAAUGGCAUGACCAACCAUUCAUACAAUCCUAGCUUGGUUUUAAAUGCAGUUUUCCAUUCAUCACCUUCUUUCAUUCGGAUUUGGUGAUAGCCACUAUUCAAAUCUAUCUUAGAAAAGACACAUGAACCGUAAAGUUCAUCAAGCAUGUCGUCUAGUCUAGGAAUGGGAUGCCUAUAUUUUACCGUAAUGUUGUUGAUGGCACGGCAGUCCACACACAUGCGCCAUGAUCCAUCCUUUUUGGGGACAAGUAGAACUGGGACGGCACAAGGACUGAGGCUUUCCCUGAUGUAACCUUUCUUCAUAAGGUCUCCAAUUUGUUUCUCAAGUUCCUUGGUCUCCACCGGAUUGGUUCUGUAAGCUGGCCGGUUAGGUAGAGACGCACCCGGAACAAAGUCAAUCUGAUGUUCAAUCCCUCGUACUGGCGGCAAACCCUUUGGGUUUUCAUCUGGAAAGACAUCUGAAUAUUCCUGCAAGACGUCUAGCAAAUCACUCGGAACUUCCGGUGCAAGGUUAGAAGAAGUAGAAGCCAUCAGAGAUUCUUUGUACACAAGUAAAAGAAAGGGCUUUUGGGAGUAAAGAGACUUCUUAACCUGACUUUGUUUGAUAAAGAAGUUGGAGUUCCGGAUUGAGGACUCAGGUUUGUCCGGUUUGGACUCUUGUUCACGGUUCUUUUUGAGUUGGAGCUGGUCUUGAUGGACCUCCAAGGGCGAGAGUGGUACAAGCGUGAUCUUCUUUCCUUUAUGGUCAAAGGAGUGCCGGUUUGUGUAACCAUCAUGGACGGUUCUUUUAUCAAACUGCCAUGGACGUCCCAACAGAACAUGACAAGCAUCCAUGGGAAGAACGUUGCACACAAUCUCGUCUUCAUAACAACCAAUGGUGAGAGGGAUCGUGACUUGCUCCUUAACAUACUGUUCACCAGUUUCAUUGAGCCAUUCCAACCUGAAAGGACGUGAAAGAGGUCGAGUAGCUAGACCUAAUUUCCUGACAAGAGUAUCACUAGCAACAUUAGUACAACUCCCACCAUCAAUGAUCAAAGAACAAACUUUUUCAGAGAUUAAACAACGAGAAUGAAAGAGAUUCUCCCUUUGUUCCUUUUCAUUGGUUUUGGGCUGAAUACUCAAGGAACGUCUAGUGACCAGUAGUGGUCCGUGAGCUGGAUAGUCAAAGCUAUCUUCAUCAUCAAAGAUCGGCUUAGAAUUUGGAUCAAAGGUCGGGUCAUGGUCGUUGUCCGUGUGGCCGUUCGCGUGGCCGUCCGUUUUAUCGAAGAUGGGUUCGUCCCAAGCCUUCCUAGCCACAAGUAAUGGUCCGUGAUGUGGGUAGUCAAAGGACUCCUCUUCCUCGUCAAAGAUAGGACCAAGAUCCUCCUUGUCUUCUUGUUCAUCUUCGGACUCAACUUCACCAUUUUCCAAGAGAAUCAUCACACGCUGGUUUGGACAGUUCUUGGCAUAAUGUCCUAGCCCUUGACAUUUGAAACAUCUAAUGUCUCUUGCUCGGCUUGAGGCGUCUACUGCCUUUCCUUUGUCAUCACGAGUGGACACAUCAGUUUUAAAGGCAGUAUGUGUUGUGAUAGGUGACUUACCUUUGUCUUGAUAGCUUAGCUUAGGAGCAUAGGCCGGUUUAGGAGAGUAGGCCGGCUUAGAAGUAGUGGCCGGUUUUGAGAAACUCCUUCUCUUGAGUUGUUGCUCGAUCAAGAUGGCUUUGUGUAGCAUCUGUUCCACACUUCCAUACUCUUGAAGCUCCAUACGAUCUUGGAUGUCACGGUUGAGGCCUGAAAGAAAGCGAGCCAUAGUGGCGUCCAAAGGUUCAUCCGUGUCCGUUUUGGUAAUCAAAACUUCCAUCUCUUGAUAAUAGUCUUCCACAGAUUUGGUUCCUUGAAGCAAACGUCUUAGCUUCUGGUGAAGGUCGCGGUGAUAAUGGGUUGGCACAAAUCGUUUCCUCAUCAACAAGGUAAGCUCAUCCCAUGUCUCAAUCGGCCGCUCACCUGUUCUCCUCCUGUGGGCCAACACUUGAUCAUACCAGUUAAUAGCAUAGCCAGAGAAUUCAGUGGCCGCAAGCCUUACUUUUCUAAGUUCAGAAUAGUUUUGACAAUCAAAGACAUGCUCAAUUUUUCUUUCCCACUCUAGAAAAGCAUCAGGGUCGUUUUUACCAUCAAAAGGUGGAAUUUUCAAUUUCAAUCCGUUCAAACUAUCAUCAGUACGAUUGUUUCUAGCAAAUGGAUUGACAUCACCUGGAUUUCGAGUUCUAUGACCUCUUCUUGGUCGGUAAGCGGAUCUGACCUCGUCCUCUUGGGCGUCCUCAUCAGGAAACUCAUCAUCUGACCGGGUAUUCCUUCACGGCUGAUUGGUUCUUGUCCUUGAUCUAGGAUGGGACUGGCUUAUUUGAAGUUCGUCAAGCCUUUGAUGGAUCUGCUCUAGACCUGUGUUUAUAAGGUUAGAAAAAGAAUCAUUCAAAGCUCGCAUCUGAAGAUUAGACAGUCCAGCAACUGAAUUUCCGGGACGGUUUUGUUCUUCAUGGCUACUCAUGGUUCCUGAAAUUUCUUAAACACAAAACGUUAGGAUUAAAACUCACACUCUCAAGUGUUUGUUCCUCACCCACACACGUGUUUCUCUCGAUUUAAAAGUGAUCACUCAAGUUUCCACUCAAAGUUCUAUGAAGAACAGAUCUCGGAAUCUGGAUGGCCAAACUUAAGCAAAACACACGGGAACUUUUAAAGAUAGAAAGAUAAGAGAUUUGUUUUAAAAGAAUCCGUUUUAACCUCCUCAAAGGCUGGAUUUCUCCUCAGCCAGCAGGCUUCCUCUUCCACCACCAAUCCACAAAGUAAACUCUUUCUUUUUUUUUUUAUAAUAUGGAUCUUGCUUGUUUCUUUUUUUUUUUUUUAUAAGUGGAUGGUAAUGAGGGGCCCGGAAUCAAGAUAGACAGAUGAAGAAGUGUUUAGAAGAAAAUGGAAGAUGAGAAGAUGGAUCGAGAUAGAGAAUACUAGAAGAGUGGCUCUGAUACCACUUGAAGGACCCUAAGAUCGGAUUGCCCUCGACUGGAUUCGUUUGGAUAUGAACUCCGGAAAGGAGAACUGAUGGAACGUUGGGUCGCACAAGGGUUGCGGAUGUUCCCUUGAUAUUCCCGACUUCAAUGGCGCUUGAUAUGACUCACAAGUCCGCCAAGGAAGAUCUCGAACUGGUUGCUUGAUAUGACUCACAAGACCAACUAGUUGAGAAGUGAAUUGCUCGGAUAUGACUCACCAAGACAAUCGAAAACAAGUUCUAAAGAGAACAGAGAGUUUAAACUCAGAAACUUAAUCCAAAAUGAUCUGAUUUUAUUAAUGAAAUGAAACACUUAUUUAUAGUACAAGUAGGAGACAAAGGGGCUACUUGACUAGAAGUUUGAAAGACAAAUAAAAUUAAAGACAUUUGACUAGGAUUUUGAAAGACAAAGAAAAAAGACUCUUCAAUCUGCGGACUGGUCAAAGUGACCCUUCGGCUUGUUGAACCGCGGCCAGGAGCAGGACGGUCGCGGGCCGGUCCGUCUGUUCCGUCUUGUCCGUCUCCUGAACCAUCUUCGACCAUAAUCGUCCUAAGUCUUCUGAAAGAUGAAGAAUCUGUGCCUUAGAGAGAUUUGGAUGAUCAAAGUGCAUGAACUGAUCAAAUGGAUCGAUCAGUUCGUCAAUACGGUCGGUACGUUCCAAACGUGCGAGAAGAGAGAAGUCGCGUCCAGUUCCUAGUUCGGCUCGGCCUAAGUUGCUUCUGGCUUGACCGUCGGUCUGAGAUUGGCGAGUUGUCCGAGAGAGAGAUGAUCCAGUACGGUCAGUUCGGCUGAUAGGUCGAGGAUCCAGUCUAAGCUUCUUCCCGUCCAUCCGUGGAUCGAUCCGGUACACUGCUCGGCCUUGGUUGGGGCGAUGAACCUCGGUUGGAAUGUCCUGACCUUCCUGAUGGUCGAGUUCCUCGGACUGAGGCACAUUAUUCCCUCCCUCUUCAAAAGGAUUUGUCCACAAAUCUGGAUUAUCUGCAAGAAAAGGAGAUAGAUCAGAAACAUUAAAACUUGAAGAGAUUUCAUACUUACCUUCCAAAUCAAGCUGGUAAGCAUUAUCAUUGAUCCUUCUAAGAAUCCGGAAUGGACCGUCGACUCGAGGCAUAAGUUUGGACUUCCUUUCUUCCGGGAAUCGUUCCUUCCUCAAAUGAACCCAAACCAAGUCACCUUCUUGGAAAACCAACUCCUUUCGCUUCUUGUUGGCAUAUCUUUUGUAACCCUCGGUUUUGGUUUCAAGGUUGACUCGAACUUGUUCAUGAAGCUUUUUGAUGGUGUCCGCCCUUCUUUUACCAUCUGUACUAACUCUUUCACUCAAAGGUAAAGGUAAAAGAUCAAGUGGAGAUAAGGGAUUAAAACCAUAAACAACUUCAAAAGGAGAGAACUUUGUAGCUGAAUGCAUAGCAUGAUUAUAAGCAAACUCAACAUGUGGCAAACAAUCUUCCCAAGACUUAAGAUUUUUCUUGACCAAAGAUCUAAGCAAAGCAGACAAAGUUCGAUUAACAACUUCGGUUUGACCAUCAGUUUGCGGAUGACAAGUUGUGGAAAACAUCAAUCUCGUUCCUAACUUAGACCACAAAGUUUUCCAAAAAUAACUAAGAAACUUAGCAUCACGAUCAGAAACAAUGGUCUUAGGCAUUCCAUGCAAUCUCACAAUUUCCCUAAAGAACAGAUCAGCAACUUGUACAGCAUCAUCAGUUUUAUGGCAAGGAAUAAAGUGAGCCAUUUUCGAAAAUCUAUCGACAACCACAAAGAUAGAGUCUCGGCCAUUCUUAGUUCUAGGCAAUCCAAGAACAAAAUCCAUAGAAAUAUCAAUCCAAGGGUGAGAAGGAAUGGGUAAGGCCGAGUACAAACCGUGAUUGGAUGCUUUGGCUUUGGACUUCUUGCACACCACACAUCGGCCACAAAUUCUCUCUACGUCCUUCAUCAAGCUAGGCCAAUAGAAAUGAUCAUACACGGCCUUGUAUGUCUUCUUGAUUCCAAAGUGUCCCAUAAGACCUCCUCCAUGAGAUUCCCUGAGAAACAACUCCCUCAAAGAACAUUGGGGCACACACAAACGGUUAUCAUAGAAAAGAAAACCCGAGUUUCGAUAGUACUUGCCAUAAGCCACUCUGGAACACUUGUUGAAAAUUUCUUUAAAAUCCGGAUCAGAAGCAUACAAGUCUUUGAUAAAUUCAAAACCGAGAAGUUUUGUUUCGAGGGCUGAAAGAAGAGUAUACCUUCGGGACAAGGCAUCAGCCACAACGUUUUCCUUACCUUGCUUGUAUUUGAUGACAUAAGGAAAUGUCUCAAUGAAUUCAACCCAGCGGGCAUGCCUCUUGUUCAGCUUCUGUUGACCCUUAAGGUGUUUCAGGGACUGAUGAUCCGUGUGGAUAACAAACUCCUUAGGCCAAAGAUAGUGUUGCCAUGUUUGAAGAGCUCUUACCAAAGCAUACAACUCUUGAUCAUAAGUUGGGUAGUUGAGUGUGGCGCCUCCAAGCUUCUCACUGAAGUAAGCAAUAGGCUUUCUAUCCUGCAUCAAAACUGCACCAAUACCAACACCCGAAGCAUCACAUUCGAUCUCAAACGUUUUAGAAAAGUCAGGAAGAACAAGUAAAGGAGCAUUAGUCAACUUCCCUUUAAGGAUUUGGAAGGCUUCUUCUUGAGCUUGUUCCCAUUUGAACCCAACAUUCUUUUUAAUGACUUCGGUCAAUGGGGCCGCUAUGGUACUAAAAUCUUGGACGAACCGUCGAUAGAACCCAGCAAGGCCGUGGAAGCUCCUUACUUCACUCACGUUCGUUGGACUUGGCCAGUCUCGGAUGGCUUUGAUUUUCUCCUCGUCCACUCUAAGUCCUUCAGCACCUACAACAAAACCUAAGAAGACCACAUGAUCUGUGCCAAAAGAACACUUUCCAAGGUUAGCAAACAAAUGUUCCUUUCUAAGAACUUCAAGGACAGAUUUCAAAUGUUUCUUAUGUUCAUCCAUGUUCUUGCUGUAGAUAAGAAUACCAUCAAAGUAAACUACCACAAAAUGACCAAUGAAUGCUCUCAAGAUAUGGUUCAUCAAUCGCAUGAAAGUGCUAGGUGCAUUAGUAAGACCAAAUGGCAUGACCAACCAUUCAUACAAUCCUAGCUUGGUUUUAAAUGCAGUUUUCCAUUCAUCACCUUCUUUCAUUCGGAUUUGGUGAUAGCCACUAUUCAAAUCUAUCUUAGAAAAGACACAUGAACCGUAAAGUUCAUCAAGCAUGUCGUCUAGUCUAGGAAUGGGAUGCCUAUAUUUUACCGUAAUGUUGUUGAUGGCACGGCAGUCCACACACAUGCGCCAUGAUCCAUCCUUUUUGGGGACAAGUAGAACUGGGACGGCACAAGGACUGAGGCUUUCCCUGAUGUAACCUUUCUUCAUAAGGUCUCCAAUUUGUUUCUCAAGUUCCUUGGUCUCCACCGGAUUGGUUCUGUAAGCUGGCCGGUUAGGUAGAGACGCACCCGGAACAAAGUCAAUCUGAUGUUCAAUCCCUCGUACUGGCGGCAAACCCUUUGGGUUUUCAUCUGGAAAGACAUCUGAAUAUUCCUGCAAGACGUCUAGCAAAUCACUCGGAACUUCCGGUGCAAGGUUAGAAGAAGUAGAAGCCAUCAGAGAUUCUUUGUACACAAGUAAAAGAAAGGGCUUUUGGGAGUAAAGAGACUUCUUAACCUGACUUUGUUUGAUAAAGAAGUUGGAGUUCCGGAUUGAGGACUCAGGUUUGUCCGGUUUGGACUCUUGUUCACGGUUCUUUUUGAGUUGGAGCUGGUCUUGAUGGACCUCCAAGGGCGAGAGUGGUACAAGCGUGAUCUUCUUUCCUUUAUGGUCAAAGGAGUGCCGGUUUGUGUAACCAUCAUGGACGGUUCUUUUAUCAAACUGCCAUGGACGUCCCAACAGAACAUGACAAGCAUCCAUGGGAAGAACGUUGCACACAAUCUCGUCUUCAUAACAACCAAUGGUGAGAGGGAUCGUGACUUGCUCCUUAACAUACUGUUCACCAGUUUCAUUGAGCCAUUCCAACCUGAAAGGACGUGAAAGAGGUCGAGUAGCUAGACCUAAUUUCCUGACAAGAGUAUCACUAGCAACAUUAGUACAACUCCCACCAUCAAUGAUCAAAGAACAAACUUUUUCAGAGAUUAAACAACGAGAAUGAAAGAGAUUCUCCCUUUGUUCCUUUUCAUUGGUUUUGGGCUGAAUACUCAAGGAACGUCUAGUGACCAGUAGUGGUCCGUGAGCUGGAUAGUCAAAGCUAUCUUCAUCAUCAAAGAUCGGCUUAGAAUUUGGAUCAAAGGUCGGGUCAUGGUCGUUGUCCGUGUGGCCGUUCGCGUGGCCGUCCGUUUUAUCGAAGAUGGGUUCGUCCCAAGCCUUCCUAGCCACAAGUAAUGGUCCGUGAUGUGGGUAGUCAAAGGACUCCUCUUCCUCGUCAAAGAUAGGACCAAGAUCCUCCUUGUCUUCUUGUUCAUCUUCGGACUCAACUUCACCAUUUUCCAAGAGAAUCAUCACACGCUGGUUUGGACAGUUCUUGGCAUAAUGUCCUAGCCCUUGACAUUUGAAACAUCUAAUGUCUCUUGCUCGGCUUGAGGCGUCUACUGCCUUUCCUUUGUCAUCACGAGUGGACACAUCAGUUUUAAAGGCAGUAUGUGUUGUGAUAGGUGACUUACCUUUGUCUUGAUAGCUUAGCUUAGGAGCAUAGGCCGGUUUAGGAGAGUAGGCCGGCUUAGAAGUAGUGGCCGGUUUUGAGAAACUCCUUCUCUUGAGUUGUUGCUCGAUCAAGAUGGCUUUGUGUAGCAUCUGUUCCACACUUCCAUACUCUUGAAGCUCCAUACGAUCUUGGAUGUCACGGUUGAGGCCUGAAAGAAAGCGAGCCAUAGUGGCGUCCAAAGGUUCAUCCGUGUCCGUUUUGGUAAUCAAAACUUCCAUCUCUUGAUAAUAGUCUUCCACAGAUUUGGUUCCUUGAAGCAAACGUCUUAGCUUCUGGUGAAGGUCGCGGUGAUAAUGGGUUGGCACAAAUCGUUUCCUCAUCAACAAGGUAAGCUCAUCCCAUGUCUCAAUCGGCCGCUCACCUGUUCUCCUCCUGUGGGCCAACACUUGAUCAUACCAGUUAAUAGCAUAGCCAGAGAAUUCAGUGGCCGCAAGCCUUACUUUUCUAAGUUCAGAAUAGUUUUGACAAUCAAAGACAUGCUCAAUUUUUCUUUCCCACUCUAGAAAAGCAUCAGGGUCGUUUUUACCAUCAAAAGGUGGAAUUUUCAAUUUCAAUCCGUUCAAACUAUCAUCAGUACGAUUGUUUCUAGCAAAUGGAUUGACAUCACCUGGAUUUCGAGUUCUAUGACCUCUUCUUGGUCGGUAAGCGGAUCUGACCUCGUCCUCUUGGGCGUCCUCAUCAGGAAACUCAUCAUCUGACCGGGUAUUCCUUCACGGCUGAUUGGUUCUUGUCCUUGAUCUAGGAUGGGACUGGCUUAUUUGAAGUUCGUCAAGCCUUUGAUGGAUCUGCUCUAGACCUGUGUUUAUAAGGUUAGAAAAAGAAUCAUUCAAAGCUCGCAUCUGAAGAUUAGACAGUCCAGCAACUGAAUUUCCGGGACGGUUUUGUUCUUCAUGGCUACUCAUGGUUCCUGAAAUUUCUUAAACACAAAACGUUAGGAUUAAAACUCACACUCUCAAGUGUUUGUUCCUCACCCACACACGUGUUUCUCUCGAUUUAAAAGUGAUCACUCAAGUUUCCACUCAAAGUUCUAUGAAGAACAGAUCUCGGAAUCUGGAUGGCCAAACUUAAGCAAAACACACGGGAACUUUUAAAGAUAGAAAGAUAAGAGAUUUGUUUUAAAAGAAUCCGUUUUAACCUCCUCAAAGGCUGGAUUUCUCCUCAGCCAGCAGGCUUCCUCUUCCACCACCAAUCCACAAAGUAAACUCUUUCUUUUUUUUUUUAUAAUAUGGAUCUUGCUUGUUUCUUUUUUUUUUUUUUAUAAGUGGAUGGUAAUGAGGGGCCCGGAAUCAAGAUAGACAGAUGAAGAAGUGUUUAGAAGAAAAUGGAAGAUGAGAAGAUGGAUCGAGAUAGAGAAUACUAGAAGAGUGGCUCUGAUACCACUUGAAGGACCCUAAGAUCGGAUUGCCCUCGACUGGAUUCGUUUGGAUAUGAACUCCGGAAAGGAGAACUGAUGGAACGUUGGGUCGCACAAGGGUUGCGGAUGUUCCCUUGAUAUUCCCGACUUCAAUGGCGCUUGAUAUGACUCACAAGUCCGCCAAGGAAGAUCUCGAACUGGUUGCUUGAUAUGACUCACAAGACCAACUAGUUGAGAAGUGAAUUGCUCGGAUAUGACUCACCAAGACAAUCGAAAACAAGUUCUAAAGAGAACAGAGAGUUUAAACUCAGAAACUUAAUCCAAAAUGAUCUGAUUUUAUUAAUGAAAUGAAACACUUAUUUAUAGUACAAGUAGGAGACAAAGGGGCUACUUGACUAGAAGUUUGAAAGACAAAUAAAAUUAAAGACAUUUGACUAGGAUUUUGAAAGACAAAGAAAAAAGACUCUUCAAUCUGCGGACUGGUCAAAGUGACCCUUCGGCUUGUUGAACCGCGGCCAGGAGCAGGACGGUCGCGGGCCGGUCCGUCUGUUCCGUCUUGUCCGUCUCCUGAACCAUCUUCGACCAUAAUCGUCCUAAGUCUUCUGAAAGAUGAAGAAUCUGUGCCUUAGAGAGAUUUGGAUGAUCAAAGUGCAUGAACUGAUCAAAUGGAUCGAUCAGUUCGUCAAUACGGUCGGUACGUUCCAAACGUGCGAGAAGAGAGAAGUCGCGUCCAGUUCCUAGUUCGGCUCGGCCUAAGUUGCUUCUGGCUUGACCGUCGGUCUGAGAUUGGCGAGUUGUCCGAGAGAGAGAUGAUCCAGUACGGUCAGUUCGGCUGAUAGGUCGAGGAUCCAGUCUAAGCUUCUUCCCGUCCAUCCGUGGAUCGAUCCGGUACACUGCUCGGCCUUGGUUGGGGCGAUGAACCUCGGUUGGAAUGUCCUGACCUUCCUGAUGGUCGAGUUCCUCGGACUGAGGCACAUUAUUCCCUCCCUCUUCAAAAGGAUUUGUCCACAAAUCUGGAUUAUCUGCAAGAAAAGGAGAUAGAUCAGAAACAUUAAAACUUGAAGAGAUUUCAUACUUACCUUCCAAAUCAAGCUGGUAAGCAUUAUCAUUGAUCCUUCUAAGAAUCCGGAAUGGACCGUCGACUCGAGGCAUAAGUUUGGACUUCCUUUCUUCCGGGAAUCGUUCCUUCCUCAAAUGAACCCAAACCAAGUCACCUUCUUGGAAAACCAACUCCUUUCGCUUCUUGUUGGCAUAUCUUUUGUAACCCUCGGUUUUGGUUUCAAGGUUGACUCGAACUUGUUCAUGAAGCUUUUUGAUGGUGUCCGCCCUUCUUUUACCAUCUGUACUAACUCUUUCACUCAAAGGUAAAGGUAAAAGAUCAAGUGGAGAUAAGGGAUUAAAACCAUAAACAACUUCAAAAGGAGAGAACUUUGUAGCUGAAUGCAUAGCAUGAUUAUAAGCAAACUCAACAUGUGGCAAACAAUCUUCCCAAGACUUAAGAUUUUUCUUGACCAAAGAUCUAAGCAAAGCAGACAAAGUUCGAUUAACAACUUCGGUUUGACCAUCAGUUUGCGGAUGACAAGUUGUGGAAAACAUCAAUCUCGUUCCUAACUUAGACCACAAAGUUUUCCAAAAAUAACUAAGAAACUUAGCAUCACGAUCAGAAACAAUGGUCUUAGGCAUUCCAUGCAAUCUCACAAUUUCCCUAAAGAACAGAUCAGCAACUUGUACAGCAUCAUCAGUUUUAUGGCAAGGAAUAAAGUGAGCCAUUUUCGAAAAUCUAUCGACAACCACAAAGAUAGA
rnacentral:lncRNA from 1 species